rnacentral:rRNA from 1 species
GGCGAACGCUGGCGGCAGGCUUAACACAUGCAAGUCGAGCGGGCACUUCGGUGUCAGCGGCAGACGGGUGAGUAACACGUGGGAACGUACCCUUCGGUUCGGAAUAACGCUGGGAAACUAGCGCUAAUACCGGAUACGCCCUUUUGGGGAAAGGUUUACUGCCGAAGGAUCGGCCCGCGUCUGAUUAGCUAGUUGGUGGGGUAAUGGCCUACCAAGGCGACGAUCAGUAGCUGGUCUGAGAGGAUGAUCAGCCACACUGGGACUGAGACACGGCCCAGACUCCUACGGGAGGCAGCAGUGGGGAAUAUUGGACAAUGGGCGCAAGCCUGAUCCAGCCAUGCCGCGUGAGUGAUGAAGGCCUUAGGGUUGUUAAAGCUCUUUUGUCCGGGACGAUAAUGACGGUACCGGAAGAAUAAGCCCC